ensembl:snoRNA SNORD42 Small nucleolar RNA SNORD42
ACGCAAAUGAUGGAAAAAUCACUAUUUGGAAAAGAAUGACAUGAGCAAAGGAACCACUGAUGCGC